UUGCUGAGUGGCUAAAGAUGUGUGAGGU
rnacentral:sRNA from 1 species